UGAGCCGGUUUUGUCUGGAAGGGAUACAGCUUUUGUCAAAACAUUUUCGUAGCAGUUUUAGGAGAACUUACGCAGCAGGUUAGGAUAAUUAGGUUAAGGUUACGAAAAUGUUUAGGGUUAGCUAAAAUGCAACAAAUAAACAAAAAAUAUAUACUUUUGACGUCCAUUUGACAAAAGCAAUAUCCCUUCUAGACAUUACCCAUUGAGCCUGCGGAUGUUGAAGGAGGAGUCGAUUCAGUUCUCGUUUAUUUUCCCACACCGCUUUCGAGCACUUGACGCUUCUCUGCUACUCUUCUUCUCAAGUUACAAUCCCAACACGAUUCCACAGCUCAAUGCAACUUCUGUUCUUAACGCGGAAUCAAUCAACCCUCCACCCAGCUUGUUUUUAAGACAAUUCGCUAGUUAAUGUUUUUUCUCAAACCCUUCUGAGUAGGCUACUUUUCGACAGGUGUUUUGGGCAGAGUGCCCGGAAGAAAAAUGUCAAAUGGGAAAGAUGCACCUGCGGCAGCGAACUCCUCACCGAUGACCCUGCAGGUGUGCCUUGAGGAGUGUAUGGAGGCCCUGGACCUCUUCCUCAACAACCACUUCAGUGAGAGCCUGGACAAACUGCGGCCACGGGCGAAGGAGAGCAUGUACCAUGCUCUGAUCUACGCCACUGUGCUGGAGAUGCAGGCUAUGAUGACCUUCCAGCAGGAUGACAUUGUCAAUGCAGGCAACACCAUGAAGAGUGCCCAGGAGGUCUGCCAGAGGUUUCGACGAAAGACCCCUAGUAAUAUCAGUAAAUCACCUGGAGAGCAUCUAACUGAAGAGCAGCUCCAAGCUCUCCAUGCUGAUGCGUGUUAUGCUGAAUGCUUGCUCCAAAGGGCUGCUCUCACCUUCCUACAGGAUGAGAACAUGGUGAGUUUUAUCAAAGGAGGAAUCAAAGUACGCAACAGUUACCUGAUUUACAAGGAGCUGCACACCUUCAUACAGUCAAACAGCUCUCUCCAAGGACCCAACCACAUUCACUUAGAGGGAGGGGUGUCUUUUGGGAUCGGAGCAUUCAACUUGACUCUUUCCAUGUUUCCACCUCGGUUACUCAAAGUUUUAGAGUUUGCUGGCUUCUCUGGAGACAAGGAGUAUGGUCUGUCCCAGCUGAAUGAUGGGGCCACUACAAACAAUCUGCGCUCCAUGCUGUGUGCCUUGCUGUUGCUCUGUUACUACACCUUCCUCACCUUCAUACUCGGGACCGGUGAGGGGGACGUGGCUGAUGCUGAGAAGCUGCUGAAGCCUUUCCGGCUCCGCUACCCACAGGGGGCCAUAUUUCUCUUCUUUGCAGGCAGGGCUGAGGCAAUCAAGGGGAACAUUGAUGAGGCGGUGGUGCUGUUUGAGGAUGGCUGCAAAGCUCAGCAGCAGUGGAAGCAGUUCCACCACAUGUGCUACUGGGAGCUGAUGUGGUGCUUCACCUACAAGUGCGUGUGGAGGAUGGCCUACUUCUACGCUGACCUACUGAGCAAUGAGAGCCGCUGGUCCAAGGCCAUGUAUGUGUACAUGAAGGCUGCUUACCUGAGCAUGCUUGCUCCGGGGGAGGCUAGGCCUUUUGGGGAAGAUGAGGUGGAGCUCUUCAGACAGGUGUCCACCUUCAAGCAAAAGAUAGCAGGGAAGUCUCCACCCACAGAGAAGUUUGCCAUUCGCAAGGCUAGACGUUACAAAGCUAGCUGCCCAGUGAGGCUCCCAGUACCUGUGCUGGAGAUGAUGUACAUGUGGAACGGCUUUUCCAUGAUCAGCAAGCGGCCAGAGCUGACCGAGGGCAUGCUGCAGACACUGGUGGAGGCAGAGCGCAUCCUACUGGAAUCUCCCGUGAAUGAGUAUUCAAUGGAUGACCGCUGUGUGAUCCACCUACUGAAGGGGCUGUGUCUGAAGAACCAGGGACACAUUCGGGCUGCAGAGGAAUGCUUCAACAAGGUGUACAACAGUGAGAAGAAGAUCAAGUUUGACCAUUACCUGGUGCCCAACGCUCUGCUGGAGCUCAGUGUGGUCUACAUAGACACGGGCCGCAAGGAGGAGGCCAUCAAACUACUGGUGAAAGCCAAUCGUGGCUGAACUACGACAUGGAUAAUAUACAGUUGGCUGGUUUUUCGUGCACUGGCAAGACGGAACAGCUGCCUCCGAACUAACUACAAGGAGUACUCCAUGGAGUCACGCACCCAGUUCAGGAUCCAUGCUGCUCUCUCCAAACUCAAGGCUGACACUAGUGACCAAGAUGAAAUCACACCACUGUAGUAUAACAGGUGUCAUUGUGCUGAGCAAGCACUGGACUUGCUUCCCCUGCCAUCUGUAUAUGCUCCAGGAAGACUUGCUCUCUUUUUCAUCCUCAGCCACUUUGAUCACUGCCUCCCAAAUGUUACUUGCUUUGUGGUGAAAGUCUCCGUCCAUCAUGGAUGGUGGUCUCUCCCUGAUUAAAACACUUGAGUUUUGAAUGGGAGUUGGUAGAAGUUGCCUCUACCUGCUGGUUCUAGAUCAGAGGCAUUUUAUCCACCUACUGGGUGAUGAACACCUGUGGUUAGGUUCAGAUUCUAUCUUCAGUGUUUCAAUGUGUGGUACUUACAUCACUGUACUGGUUACCCAUAACAGUAGUUGGGAGGCAGUUGCUCAAAACAAUUUGAAUACAGUAUAUCCACUUUUUUUGUGGGGGAAAACAUGUUGAAAUGAACUUAACAAUGUAAGUAAUGUUUGGAUAUGUGAGGUAUAGUUUUGCUUUUAACUUCUCCAAAAGUGGUUGAGUAUUACUGUAAGCAUUUUGACAAAAGCAUCCCUUUGGUGAUAACUGAAUAAGACAGACAAAUGACAUUGCUUUGAUCCCUGAGUUAUUUUAACAAAUGUAUUAACAUUUAUGUAGAAGGACCUUUAAUAAUCAAUAGGUCAUGCUACAUUUGUUUUAUGUAGUUGUCCCUGCUGCAAUGUACAGAGGAAAGUAGAGUCAGUUGAAUUAAGUUUAACCUCUGAUAGUGUAAACAUUAUUUUAAGUAAUGAAUGUCAAUCAAGACCUUGUACAAAGAAAGGUGUGGUUAAACCAUUUGAAAAACAUGAUUAAAUAUGUCCAUUUGCUAGAA